GAUGAAGAACGUAGCGAAAUGCGAUAAGUAGCGUGAAUUGCAGAAUUCAGUGAAUCAUCGAAUCUUUGAACGCACAUUGCGCCCCAUGGUAUUCCGUGGGGCAUGCCUGUUCGAGCGUCAUUUACCCCCUCAAGCUCCGCUUGGUGUUGGGCGUCUGUCCCGCUUCGCGCGCGGACUCGCCCCAAAGGUAUUGGCAGCGGUCGUGCCAGCUUCUCGCGCAGCACAUUGCGCUUCUCGAGGCACCGGUGGGCCCGCGUCCAUCAAGCUCACCCCCCCAGUUUGACCUCGGAUCAGGUAGGGAUACCCGCUGAACUUAAGCAUAUCAAUAAGCGGAGGA
rnacentral:misc_RNA from 1 species